UUGCACCUACGGGGGGCAGCAGCGAGGAAUAUUGGUCAAUGGUCGGGAGACUGAACCAGCCAAGCCGCGUGAGGGAUGAAGGUACAGAGUAUCGUAAACCUCUUUUGUCAGGGAACAAAGGCGGGGACGUGUCCCCGGAUGAGUGUACCUGAAGAAAAAGCAUCGGCUAACUCCGUGCCAUCAGCCGCGGUAAUACGGAGGAUGCGAUCGUUAUCCGGAUUUAUUGGGUUUAAAGGGGGCGCAUGCGGUCUGUUAA
rnacentral:rRNA from 1 species